AACGUAGGACGCAAGCGUUAUCCGGAGUUACUGGGCGUAAAGCGCGGGCAGGCGGUUCUGCCAGUCUGAUGUGAAAUCUCCCCGCUCAACGGGGAGCAGCCAUUGGAAACUACAGAACUGGAGUCUGACAGAGGUAGGCGGAAUUCCGGGUGGAGUGGUGAAAUGCGUAGAGAUCCGGAGGAACACCAGAGGCGAAGGCGGCCUACUGGGUCAGUACUGACGCUGAGCCGCGAAAGCCAGGGGAGCGAACAGG
rnacentral:rRNA from 1 species